GUAGGUGGCAAGCGUUGUCCGGAAUUAUUGGGCGUAAAGCGCGCGCAGGCGGUCCUUUAAGUCUGAUGUGAAAGCCCACGGCUCAACCGUGAAGGGUCAUUGGAAACUGGGGGACUUGAGUACAGAAGAGGAAAGCGGAAUUCCAAGUGUAGCGGUGAAAUGCGUAGAGAUUUGGAGGAACACCAGUGGCGAAGGCGGCUUUCUGGUCUGUAACUGACGCUGAGGCGCGAAAGCGUGGGGAGCAAACAGGAUUAGAUACCCUGGUAGUCCACGCCGUAAACGAUGAGUGCUAAGUGUUAGGGGGUUUCCCGCCCCCUUAGUGCUGCAGCUAACGCAUUAAGCACUCCGCCUGGGGAGUACGGCCGCAAGGCUG
rnacentral:rRNA from 1 species